UACGUAGGGUGCAAGCGUUGUCCGGAAUUAUUGGGCGUAAAGAGCUCGUAGGCGGUCUGUCGCGUCUGCUGUGAAAACUCAGGGCUUAACCCUGAGCUUGCAGUGGGUACGGGCAGACUAGAGUGCGGUAGGGGGAGACUGGAAUUCCUGGUGUAGCGGUGAAAUGCGCAGAUAUCAGGAGGGAACACCGGUGGCGAAGGCGGGUCUCUGGGCCGUAACUGACGCUGGAGGGAGCGGAAAGCAUGGGGGAGCGAACAGG
rnacentral:rRNA from 1 species